rnacentral:rRNA from 1 species
CGUAAGGUGCAAGCGUUGUCCGGAAUCACUGGGCGUAGAGGGCGCGUAGGCGGUUUGAUAAGUAGAGGGUGAAAGAUUCGAGCUCAACUCGAAAACUGCCUUCUAAACUGUCUUACUUGAGGGUCUGAGGGGGAAACUGGAAUUCACGGUGUAGCGGUGAAAUGCGUAGAUAUCGUGGAGAACACCCGUGGCGAAAGCGGGUUUCUGGCAGACUCCUGACGCUGAGGCGCGAAGGCUAGGGGAGCAAACGGGAUUAGAUACCCCGGUAGUCCUAGCUGUAAACGAUGGGUACUGGGUGUGGGGACUUCGGUCUCCGUGCCGGCGCUAACGCAUUAAGUACCCCGCCUGGGGACUACGAUCGCAAGAUUA